rnacentral:lncRNA from 1 species
CAUCAAGUUUUAGUUUUGGAAAGUGAUAAUAGCAAUAAGUAUGCAAAUAUGAGGGUUUGUGUCGGGCUUAAGCAAAAAAUUCAGGCCCGAGCCCAGGCUGAGACCGAUUGGGCCAACCUCGUACAUCUUCUCCAACACCAUCUUUGCCAUCGACCGCUGGAAGUCUGCCCAUAGGUCCUCCGACUACUUCACCACUGCGAAGCUCCUGCACCUUCCCUCCACCACCCC